rnacentral:rRNA from 1 species
UACGGAGGGGGCUAGCGUUGUUCGGAAUUACUGGGCGUAAAGCGCACGUAGGCGGCUUUGCAAGUCAGAGGUGAAAGCCCGGGGCUCAACCCCGGAAUAGCCUUUGAGACUGCAUCGCUAGAAUUGUGGAGAGGUAAGUGGAAUUCCGAGUGUAGAGGUGAAAUUCGUAGAUAUUCGGAAGAACACCAGUGGCGAAGGCGGCUCACUGGACUGGUAUUGACGCUGAGGUGCGAGAGCGUGGGGAGCAAACAGG